rnacentral:tRNA from 2 species
AUUCAAUUAGUUUAUUAAAACAUUAAAUUGUGGAUUUAAAAAUAUAUUAAAAUAUAUUGGAUA